rnacentral:lncRNA from 1 species
UGUUCCAAAAAUAUCUCUUUGAAAAGACAUGAGAGGGAUGCAGAGCCAAUAGAGAAAGGGAAGCCAGAGAAGCGUUUGGGACUCGUGAGCUUGGUUCCCCGGUGUCACACUUGAAAACUGCUAAGCUUAUGCCUUCCCUACGGGCCACGUGCUUUUGUGUUCUUGAAAAUGCAUCAAGAAUUGGGAAACUUACAGUCUGGUUCUAGGUCUGCACAUGCCAAGUGGGGAAAGGCAGCCGGGAGUCCUCAUGAGACAGUCAGAAGGGAAAUGCCGGAAUGCAUGGACACACACUUUAUGGACGGUCAGAAGGGAAAUGCCGGAAUGCAUGGACACACACUUUUAUGGGAUGCAGAGGGUGUGAGCAGAAGCUGCUGCAUCUUCUCGCUGUGUUCCUGAGGGACUUAUUCAUUUAUUCAGCAAGUAUUUCUUUGAGGCAUUGCUGCUGCCAAUCCCUCAUUAGGUAUUCAUUUCCCUGAUUAGGUAUUCAUUCCCCUCAUUAGGUAUGCAGUCACAUGGUCCAGUCACAUGGUCAGCGUCCCUCAUCAUUUAUCCUGUGCACACAGUUCCAGGGAACAAUGAGGCUUAUUCCCGACAGCACCACAGGCGUGAUAGCUCCCUCCCUCCACUAAAUUCUCCUCAUUCUCCGAGGCUAAACCUUUACCCACUGUGAAGAAUUUUCUCAAAUCAUUCCCACGAGUGUCUGUCUGAUUUUGUGCUUGAACACUCCCAGG